GACUUGUGUGAGAUAUGACUGGCCAGACGUCGCUGGCACUAGAUGAAAACUCAUGGCAAAUGCUUUCGUUUUGAGGCCUGCUGAUGGAUAAGUGGACAAUGUGUCACGGACAGACAAACUGCUCUGGUGACUUCUGGUGAUAGGAUCCAGGUGAACCUUAUUACGAAAAUGCGAGAAAGGUCUACAGUGACGAGGGGUCAUGUGAAGAUGUGCCAUUGUGAUCUCACACAAACCGGUCAGGAAAGAAACAGGAGGUUAAAAUUUCAUGACUGCUGGUGGGCUGGCUUCCGGAAUCCUAAAACGUCAACUGUCAGCUCCAAAGCAAACACCGCCGACUCCAGGACGGAAAGGAAAAAGGAAACAGAACAAAUCCCGGGUUCAGCGCUCCAAGAAAACUUCGAGCAGAGUAAUACUCUAUGACAUGAGUCAGGGACUCACUCCUCUGGUUAUUUCCCAGGCGCUCUGAGAGAUUUACAAAAGUGAAAAAAAAAAAAAAAAAGAUCCUCACCAACUGAUGUCACCGUUUGUAAUUUUGAGGACAAAGGAACCUUUUACCAUGUUGUAUCCAUUCUAUUAUGUCGGGCACCAUGAACUGUUGUGGCAUUUACAUGAGAAAUGGAACUGGUGGUGAGCCUGGGCUCCAUCUCACAGUUAGCUGUCUCUUUAAUCCAAUCUAGUGCAAUGGUGUUGGAACUGCAGUACCAAGGCUGCAGCAGCAGGGAACUUCUUUGUGAGGAGAGGAUGGGUGUUAUAAUUUUGAGAACCCCAAACCAUGGAGGGGUCACUGGCUUUGCUUUUCUGGCUUCCUCUUACUGUGUCGACAUGAGGUGUGGGAUCGAGUGGGAUUGUGAAUUCAAAGGCAAGGUUAGUUUUGAAUUACUUGUCAUAUCCA